CCUACGGGAGGCAGCAGUGAGGCAUAUUGGUCAAUGGACGAGAGUCUGAACCAGCCAAGUAGCGUGAAGGAUGACUGCCCUAUGGGUUGUAAACUUCUUUUAUAUGGGAAUAAAACGUUCCACGUGUGGGAUUUUGUAUGUACCAUAUGAAUAAGGAUCGGCUAACUCCGUGCCAGCAGCCGCGGUAAUACGGAGGAUCCGAGCGUUAUCCGGAUUUAUUGGGUUUAAAGGGAGCGUAGGUGGAUUGUUAAGUCAGUUGUGAAAGUUUGCGGCUCAACCGUAAAAUUGCAGUUGAAACUGGCAGUCUUGAGUACAGUAGAGGUGGGCCGAAUUCGUGGUGUAGCGGUGAAAUGCUUAGAUAUCACGAAGAACUCCGAUUGCGAAGGCAGUUCACUGGACUGCAACUGACACUGAGGCUCGAAAGUGUGGGUAUCAAACAGGAUUAGAUACCCUAGUAGUC
rnacentral:rRNA from 1 species